CAAGGCAUGGAAAAUGGUGCUGCUGUCACUUCCAACUUGACAGGAACACAGCAGGAUGUAGAUCUAUCACACUUCCUUCUAAUUGAGAAGAGUUCCCGGCAUGCUGAAUUGCAAUGAUGGGAUAUGGCUACUUACAUUGAGGCAAUUGAUUCCCAAUUCUUCUUGCUAAAAGGUAGCAUUUUGGACUUGUUAGUGAGUUCAACCGAAGUUUUGACCUGAAGUUUGCAUUCUGAGUCUGAUUCUCCUCCCUGUAACCUGUGGUUUAAGGUUCAACCUGAAGUCAUCGUAGUAAAUUCAAUCAAAGAUUUGAGCUGAAGUUAUCCUAUUAAGAAUUGCUUUGAAUCUCUAUUGUUUAUGAUACAUUCUAUAAUUAGGCUAUUAGGCUGUAUUUUAGUGAUUUGGUUUUGAUUAACUUAUUUAGAUUAUUGUAAAAUAAUUUUUUUAAUAGAAAUUUGUGUAACAAUUGUCAUAGAGUUUAA